UAGGGAAUCUUCCGCAAUGGGCGAAAGCCUGACGGAGCAACGCCGCGUGAGUGAUGAAGGUCUUCGGAUCGUAAAACUCUGUUAUUAGGGAAGAACAUAUGUGUAAGUAACUGUGCACAUCUUGACGGUACCUAAUCAGAAAGCCACGGCUAACUACGUGCCAGCAGCCGCGGUAAUACGUAGGUGGCAAGCGUUAUCCGGAAUUAUUGGGCGUAAAGCGCGCGUAGGCGGUUUUUUAAGUCUGAUGUGAAAGCCCACGGCUCAACCGUGGAGGGUCAUUGGAAACUGGAAAACUUGAGUGCAGAAGAGGAAAGUGGAAUUCCAUGUGUAGCGGUGAAAUGCACAGAGAUAUGGAGGAACACCAGUGGCGAAGGCGACUUUCUGGUCUGUAACUGACGCUGAUGUGCGAAAGCGUGGGGAUCAAACA
rnacentral:rRNA from 1 species